AGGGGUUCGGAAAGAUGUCGCCGAAGGUCGGACGUCGGUAGAAUCCCUGGAGGGUCACUCCUGACACGAACUUCGACUGGAGGGUAUUCUGUACCCAACACCAAUCCCCCUACUUUCGAGUUCGAGUUUCGAAUAAGGGAAGUACAGAGAAAUUUUCACAGUCGAAGUUGCUCCCUUGAAUCCCGCGCACAACCGCCCUCAAAAAUCCUGGCAUUUAAUGCGCGCGUGUCGGAGUC
rnacentral:lncRNA from 1 species